UUUUCGAGCAGAAGUUGGCAAUCUUUAAUCUGUGAAAUUUCCCAUAAUUUAUUGACACUUACACAUCUUUCUUUUCUGCAGAAACACCGCUGGUUUUAAUUAGCGCAAAUUAAUCAAUAGCAGGGGGGCCAUGCUGAGUUCCAGUGAAAGGCAGGUGAGGAGUGCUGGCUGCAUGCUAAACACAGUGACAUGUAAAACCAACAACUGGAGACAAAGCUUCGCGGAGCUGCACCUUGCAGCAGGGCAGGUGGAGCAGGCAACUGCACACAAAUGGCAACAACAACAACAACAACAAAAAAAAGAGCCUAAUGAACCUGCAGAAACGUAUGGCCCUAAUGAAGAUGAAAGCCUCUCUUCUAGCUACCUUACCUAGAAAUACAAAGAAAAGGAGGAAAUUAAAAAAGGAAAGACAACAUGCCAGCUGUUUGGAGAGAUUUCAGAGGCAACUGGAUCUGCAAAAAGGGGGAAAGGAAGGAAAGAAAGAAAAAGCUGUUUCCCUGGGGUUCUGCAGGACCAUUCUUCAUUGCUGCUGAGUCUGCAUUAAAUGGCACAGCUGGCUGAAGGUGGAAGGCUGCUGGGUGGAGGGGAAUACAGAGAUACAUGUUUUUAAUGGGCUCAUAAGUUCCGAAGAAGAGAAAUGAAGGGCUGUUAAACUUCUUGAGCUGAAAACUUCUGAUUCCAAGGGCCUUGAGUGCUGUAUUGCCUCUGAUGAUUGUCAUCUCUCUGCAAUCUCCAUUCCUUUUAUUAUUUUAUUUGUGUGAGAACAAGAAGUCUAUCACCUGAUAAGAUUUAUAACUAAUGCUGAGCAGGAUUAUACAGAAAAUACUGAAACUCGUACUGUAAGGCUUGUUGAUUUUUACUGAGAUCUGUUCCAGGAUAGCAAGACAUUAAUAUACCAGCUUUCUCCUCUGGAAGCCUGCUGUCAAGGCUCAGUUUCUCUUCACUGGUGAAACAAGUUUGUCCUUUUAUCUCCAGCCCCUCGUGGUCUCCUGGGGACUGGGGAUCUUUGAUAGAGCUUUAUGGCAGCUGGACGAAAAGGAGAUGAUGUCUGUCAUGUUUGAGGUGUGUGUGACCUGCAUGGGAAACCUGCCUGAGUCCCUGUCCCCAUCCUCACUAGUGCCACAAUGCAGAGCUGACAUUUCUAAAAGCCAAGACUCUACACUACACAGCAAAACACUGACUCAAAAGACCCAUAAAAAUCAGUUGCCUAAUGGGUAUGGUUUUCUAAUGAAGGGGAAUAAAGGUUAUUAUUAGCAGACUAAAGGUCUAACU
rnacentral:lncRNA from 1 species